CCACAAGGUGGCUAUUUGAGAGGGAAAGUGACUUGUGCAUAUAUCCUUGUGCAUACAUACUUCUAAUUUCUUGGUGCCUACUCAAGCAUGAUAUAUUCAUUGACCAGAGUCAUCUUCUCUCCCUAUAUAUAUCAUCCCUCUCUCUUCGUCUCUCUCACUCUCUCUACUUGUGCUCUCACUUUUCUCUCACUAUUGUCUUCACAAAUACUCUUGGGGGGGGCUUCUCUCUGAUCUGAUCCACAGCUAUAUACACACACACACAUAUAUUGGUGUUUAUUUUUAAUUCAUGGCAACCGGUGGACCUUAUCUUGCCGAAGUUUACGUGAUGCGGAAGCUCCAUAAGGAGAAGAUGAAGAGUACAGAAAAGGAAAGGGAAGAGAAGGAAGUAAUUGUUGUUCAUCAAGGAAAAGUUUGGUGUGAUUGUUUUCCCAGAAUGGUCAAGAAAAUCCGCCCAAACACGGUGGCGCCACCACCAGAUUCCAUUGUCACUGCUCCUGGGGCGUGAUUGAACUGUCAAAAUCAUGCAUAUCUACCGAGAGGCAAUGGUGUAGCAAAUAUGUUGGCUAACCAUGUUGUUCACCUACAUCAGGGAGACCUUGCGAUAUAUCCUAAUUCUCCUUGUUUUGUUUAUCUUUUAUACAACAUGACAACAGUGGGAUGGCUACCCCAGUUGUGUAGCCAACAAUCUUACUAGUUAAAUAAAAUUGCCUCUUUUAUCCAAAAAAAAAAA